UAUGAUCCAGAGUACCACGGGACACGUGAAACCCUGUGGGAAGCAGGAGGGACCACCCUCCAAGGCUAAAUACUACCUAGUGACCGAUAGCGUAUAGUACCGUGAGGGAAAGGUGAAAAGAACCCCGGGAGGGGAGUGAAAUAGAACCUGAAACCCUGCACUUACAAGCUGUGGAAGCACAUUUCUUGUGUGACCGCGUACUUUUUGUAGAACGGGCCAACGAGUUACGUUAAGUAGCAAGGUUAAGCACUUAAGGUGCGGAGCCGUAGCGAAAGCGAGUUUUAACUGAGCGUUCAGUUACUUGACGUAGACCCGAAACCGGGCGACCUACCCAUGAGCAGGAUGAAGCGAAAGUAAAAUUUCGUGGAGGUCCGAACCCACGAGCGUUGAAAAGCUCGGGGAUGACUUGUGGGUAGCGGUGAAAUUCCAAUCGAGCCCGGAGAUAGCUGGUUCUCCCCGAAAUAGCUUUAGGGCUAGCCUCAAGGUGAGAGAUACGGAGGUAGAGCACUGAAUGUCCUAGGGGGUAUUGCACCUACCGAAGACUAUCAAACUCCGAAUGCCGUCAUCUUAUACUUGGGAGUCAGACUGUGGGUGAUAAGAUUCAUAGUCGAAAGGGCAACAGCCCAGAUCGUCAGCUAAGGUCCCUAAAUGUAAGUUAAGUGGUAAAGGAUGUGGGAUUGCACAGACAACCAGGAUGUUGGCUUAGAAGCAGCCACUCAUUCAAAGAGUGCGUAAUAGCUCACUGGUCGAGUGAUCCUGCGCCGAAGAUUUCCGGGGCUAAAACUUACUACCGAAGCUACGGCAUCAGUAAUGAUGGGUAGGGGAGCUUCCCAUACGGGUUGAAGCAUGACCGUAAGGACAUGUGGACAGUAUGGGAGUGAGAAUGUUGGCAUGAGUAGCGAGAUGUGGGUGAGAAUCCCACAGGCCGUAAACCCAAGGUUUCCAGGGGAAGGUUCGUCCGCCCUGGGUUAGUCGGGACCUAAGCUGAGGCCGAAAGGCGUAGGUGAUGGACAACAGGUUGAUAUUCCUGUACUACCGAUAACCGUUUGAGAGAAGGGAUGACACAGUAGGAUAAGCUAAGCACACUGUUGGUUAUGUGUGCCCAAGCAUUGAGGCAGUCAAAGUAGGCAAAUCCGCUUUGAUAAUGCUGGGAUGUGAUGGGGAGCGAAAUUUAGUAGCGAAGUAGCUGAUUUCACACUGUCAAGAAAAGUCUCUAUCGAGGUUAAAGGUACCCGUACCGCAAACCGACACAGGUGGGUGAGGAGAGUAUCCUAAGGCCAGCGAGAGAACUGUUGUUAAGGAACUCGGCAAAAUGACCCCGUAACUUAGGGAUAAGGGGUGCCACCAUCAGGUGGCCGCAGAGAAUAGGCCCAAGCGACUGUUUACCAAAAACAUAGGUUUCUGCUAAGUCGCAAGACGAUGUAUAGGAGCUGACGCCUGCCCGGUGCUGGAAGGUUAAGGGGAUCUGUUAGAGCAAUCGAAGCAGUGAACUUAAGCCCCAGUAAACGGCGGCCGUAACUAUAACGGUCCUAAGGUAGCGAAAUUCCUUGUCGGGUAAGUUCCGACCCGCACGAAAGGCGUAACGAUUUGGGCACUGUCUCAACAACAGACUCGGUGAAAUUGUAAUUCCGGUGAAGAUGCCGGAUACCUGCGACAGGACGGAAAGACCCCAUGGAGCUUUACUGUAGCUUGACAUUGGGUCUUGGUACUACAUGUACAGGAUAGGUGGGAGGCUUUGAAACCAGGACGCCAGUUUUGGCGGAGCCAUCCUUGGGAUACCACCCUUGUAGUACUGGGACUCUAACCAUAGGCCAUGAAUCUGGUCUUGGGACACUGUCAGGUGGGCAGUUUGACUGGGGCGGUCGCCUCCCAAAAGGUAACGGAGGCGCUCAAAGGUUCUCUCAGUACGGUCGGAAAUCGUACGUAGAGUGUAAAGGCAAAAGAGAGCUUGAUUGCAAGACAUACAGGUCGAGCAAGGAUGAAAAUCGGACUUAGUGAUCCGGUGGUUCUGCGUGGAAGGGCCAUCGCUCAACGGAUAAAAGCUACCCUGGGGAUAACAGGCUUAUCUCCCCCAAGAGUCCACAUCGACGGGGAGGUUUGGCACCUCGAUGUCGGCUCAUCACAUCCUGGGGCUGUAGUAGGUCCCAAGGGUUGGGCUGUUCGCCCAUUAAAGUGGUACGCGAGCUGGGUUCAGAACGUCGUGAGACAGUUCGGUCCCUAUCCGUCGCAGGCGUAGGAAAUUUGAGAAGACCUGUCCUUAGUACGAGAGGACCGGGAUGGACGUACCUCUGGUGUACCAGUUGUUCUGCCAAGGGCAUGGCUGGGUAGCUAUGUACGGAAUGGAUAAGCGCUGAAAGCAUCUAAGCGCGAAGCCAACUUCAAGAUAAGAUUUCCCACCGCAAGGGUAAGACCCCAGAAAGACUAUCUGGUUGAUAGGUCGAAGGUGUAAGUGCAGCAAUGUAUUUAGCUUAUCGAUACUAAUAGGUCGAGGACUUGACCAA
rnacentral:rRNA from 1 species